GGCCAUAACAACAGAGGAGGCCGAUAGCGCACGAUGCACUGCGAUUCGUUAAUUUAUUACUGUUUAUGCGACACACAGGACAUCAAGUUUAUCAAUCGUUGUCGUGGGAAGAAUGACUAGAUCACUGAAGCAUCGAAUCAAUCGUCAAAACCGACAGUUUUCCGCUGUCGUCACGUAUACGUGUGUCUGAACACGUCCGCAACAAUCAUUCACAAUAGCGAUAUUAACAAUUGAUCGAUGAGCAUCGACGACCUCUCACACACGAGUACAAAUGGAUAUAUACAUACUAUCGAUCAAGAGCAGCUCAUCAUAUCGCGAAAUGGAUAUCUGUCGCUCAUCGACCACCAGCAAAAUUAGCGUGACGUGGCGAGAUCUUAUCGAUCGUGAAUCGUAUCGAAGAUCUAUUACAAGCUCGUAAAUACGAGCUACGUCCGCGUGUACGUUGAAAAGCUCGGUGAUUAACCUAG
rnacentral:misc_RNA from 1 species